rnacentral:rRNA from 1 species
UACAGAGGGGGCAAGCGUUGUUCGGAAUUACUGGGCGUAAAGGGCGCGUAGGCGGCCUUCUAAGUCGAACGUGAAAUCCCCGGGCUCAACCCGGGAACUGCGUCCGAUACUGGAAGGCUUGAAUCCGGGAGAGGGAUGUGGAAUUCCAGGUGUAGCGGUGAAAUGCGCAGAUAUCAGGAGGAACACCUAUGGCGAAGGCAGCACUCUGGGACGUGACUGACGCUGAGACGCGAAAGCGUGGGGAGCGAACAGG